GUCAGAUAAGAUUUAUGGACAGAAAAAGGAAGGUGACAUACAGGAAUUGUGAGCUACAGAAACAGCUGGGUUAGUUACAGCUCAGCGUUUUCCUCAUUGGUACAAGGUCUGAACAGCUGGCCGCCUGCGACUGGCUGAGACUCAGCCAUUGUUACAGAAGCAUACUGCUGAGUUGAGUUUUCAGUUUGUUUAGGUACUAAGUUAGCUUGUUGUUCCUAAGUAAGAACUCAAGUAUGUGAGUACAGAGGCUUUCUCAGGCCAAAUUUAGUUUGAUUUAACAGAAGUGAGGAGCAACCAGCCUCAUUCUCACUGUGGCUGGGUGUGGGCAUGUCCUGGGCCCUCCCACAGCUCUAGGAAUUGCCUGAGAGACAGACGAAGUGGACAAAGUCGCUGACAGACCUGAGUUACUGCCUUGGUCCUGGUGACCCUGCUCCAGGCAGUCCAUCUCUGUCUGCGAUCCCGGCACCACUCCCGGUGGUUCAUUAUUGCCCAGAGGGGCCUCUGGAGUGCAAGCCUCAAACAGGGAGACAGACCUGGGAAGACUCCAUGAGGCUCCACAG
rnacentral:lncRNA from 10 species